AAUGUACUCCCUCUGUCCGGAAUUACUUGUCGUGAAAAUGAAUAAAUAUAAAAGUAUUUAGAACUAAAAUACGUUUAGAUACAUCCAUUUCUUUGACAGGUAUUUUUGGGCGGAUGAAGUACUUA
rnacentral:pre_miRNA from 1 species